rnacentral:lncRNA from 1 species
AAAUAGGCUCCAGUCACCUACAAAUACAAACUUAUUUCAUAAUUUAACUUGCAUCAUACACAGGAUUGAAUCUUUUGUGGUAACUUCCCUUUUCAAAUCGAUGAUGUCUUGACCCUCUUAUUAUCACAUUCAGAUUCAUUUCUAAUCUUUUUUUUUUUUUUUGGGUAAACUUGUCCUUUCUAUUCCUGUCUUUGAUCUCCAGAAAUUCUUUUGAUCAUUAGAAUAAUUUCGUGCAUCAAAUAUCUUCUCCAAUCACAUCAUCUAUUUUUCUGCUACCAAUGUAUUAGGUUCACCACGCUUCUACUGCGCUACUCUGAUUUAAUAUCCUCGAUCAACCCUUUUAUUGUACUUCAUUAAUCAAAAGCAGAUGAAGUAGGAGGACUAAAUGUCCUCGUCAUCCUAGAUUCCAAAAAUGCAUCAAAGAAAAUUUUCACCAAUCACUAUAGUUCACUAGACCUCAAUAUAUUUUGCACGUCAACAUAUCAAAUAUUUCAGUGAACCUCAAACCAUGCUCUGAUACCAC